AUUGAACGCUGGCGGCAUGCCUUACACAUGCAAGUCGAACGGCAGCACGGGUGCUUGCACCUGGUGGCGAGUGGCGAACGGGUGAGUAAUACAUCGGAACAUGUCCUGUAGUGGGGGAUAGCCCGGCGAAAGCCGGAUUAAUACCGCAUACGAUCUACGGAUGAAAGCGGGGGACCUUCGGGCCUCGCGCUAUAGGGUUGGCCGAUGGCUGAUUAGCUAGUUGGUGGGGUAAAGGCCUACCAAGGCGACGAUCAGUAGCUGGUCUGAGAGGACGACCAGCCACAAUGGGACUGAGAAACGGCCCAGACUCCUACGGGAGGCAGCAGUGGGGAAUUUUGGACAAUGGGCGAAAGCCUGAUCCAGCAAUGCCGCGUGUGUGAAGAAGGCCUUCGGGUUGUAAAGCACUUUUGUCCGGAAAGAAAUACUUGGCCCUAAUACGGUCGGGGGAUGACGGUACCGGAAGAAUAAGCACCGGCUAACUACGUG
rnacentral:rRNA from 1 species